rnacentral:rRNA from 1 species
ACUCCUACGGGAGGCAGCAGUGGGGAAUAUUGGACAAUGGGCNGCAAGCCUGAUCCAGCCAUGCCGCGUGAGUGAAGAAGGCCUUAGGGUUGUAAAGCUCUUUCACCNGCGAAGAUAAUGACGGUACCAGCAGAAGAAGCCCCGGCUAACUCC